ACCUCCCAUGUUUUCCGUACAAAAAUAAAUUCCCCCACCCCCCUAUUAUUUUCGGCAGAGAGAAAGGGAGAGAGUUCACCUCCCCUUUUCUCAUUUCAUUGGCCGAGAGAGGGAGAGAGAGAAUAUCAUCAUCCAAUACCUUCUUCUCUUGUUUUCUUUUCUUUUCUUUAGCCGAGAGAGUACUGGAAAAGAAGAAGCAAAAGGAAGGAAAGAAAGGAGAAAAAGAAGAAAGGAGAAAGGGGAAGAUCGUCCGUUGCCACUGCCGAUCACCUCCAUUUUUUUUUUUUAAUCCUAGCUAGAACUCCACGAUAAAGGUAAUCAGGAGACCAAAGGACAAAAUCCUUUACAAGAUGAUCAGUACCAGGGUGAGGACCUCCCAGCUGAGGAAGGAGAGUUUGUCGAGCCUUGGAUGCCUUAACCUUAGAAACUCUGUUAAUUUGGAGUAAUGUCAUUUGAAUUUUCAAAAUUGUUAUCACAUUUGUCAAACUUUGUUUUAUUUUUGUUAAGUUGUAAGACAAUUAAGUAGUUUUGAAAUUAGUAUUUGAGAUUUUCGCUACUAAACUCUGUUUAAUAAAAUUUUAUUUCUUAAAUCAGUUUUAUGAAUUAUUAAAAUAAUUAAAAUAAUUUAAUUAACGUAUCCGAAAAUCGGGGCGUUACAAUAUGAGGCUCUGCCUGGCUUUAAUUGGGCCCCGAUAUUGGAUUGUGGGAUUAGUCGUCCCGAGGUGUGCAUGAACUAGCCAAGACACUUGAGUUGUCAAAAACUAAUCUGGAUAUAUUGAUAUUUUGGUGUCUGUGUAAAUGAGUGUAUGUAUGCUUGUUGGUUGUGUACUUGUGUUGUGUGGUUGGUGAUGGAUUUGGUGUUGGUUUGCCUAAAAAAUUGCAUAAGUGAAGCAAGGGAAAGCAAAAGGAGAAGGUGGACAACAACAUGGUGUUGUUUGAUAAGGCUACCUAUGAUAAGCUUCUCUCUGAGGCUCCCAAGUACAAGCUCAUCACGCCUUCCAUUCUCUCUGAUCGUUUGAGGGCCGGAGAAAGUUCACACAUGCAGAAAGUUCAAGUACAAGUUCAAUCUCAUUUAUUCAGUACUCUGAAAAUGAAACACUGCAAAUUCGAAAGUUCAUCUCAACCCAGAGUUGGACAUUUCAAGAGGUUUGGCUUCCCAACUCAAUCGAACAAAGCUGACUGAUGAAAACAUCCAUAUAGUCAGACUGAAGGCAGAGCUCUCCGUGGAGAAUAGAAUACAUCGGUUACUCCCUGGAAAUGAGAAAAAAUAGUCUCUUCGCAGAGUGGGCUAUGAUGCACUGGGGUUUGGUUAAUUUGCAAAGUCUUGUGGCAUCAUUGCAGAAGAUGGGAAUCAAUUGGUUGGCUAAUUGGAUUCAAGUCUAGUAGUAGGAUAGUUGCUUACCUUAAUGUCUAGUCUAAUAAUUCAUUUGGUUUUAUGCUUUCAUUUGGUCACCUAUAAUAAUAUGGAGAUAUAAUUCAUUUGGUCACCUGUACCAA